rnacentral:lncRNA from 1 species
GCGAAAAGGAAGACUCCCGUCAAGACCAGAAACCCGGAUCUGAUCCGUGGUGUGGGAAAGUAUUCCAGGUCUAAGAUGUACCACAAGCGUGGCCUUUGGGCAAUCAAGGCCAAAAAUGGCGGUGCUUUCCCCCGCCAUGAUCCCAAACCUAAGGCCCCCGCUGCCGCUGAGAAACCUCCCAAGUUUUACCCGGCUGAGGAUGUCAAGAAGCCGCUCCUUAACAAGCGCAAACCUAAACCCAC